rnacentral:rRNA from 1 species
UACGAAGGGGGCUAGCGUUGCUCGGAAUUCCUGGGCGUAAAGGGCGCGUAGGCGGAUAGUUUAGUCAGAGGUGAAAGCCCAGAGCUCAACUCUGGAAUGGCCUUUGAGACUAGAGGACUUGGGUACGGGAGAGGUGAGUGGAAUUCCGAGUGUAGAGGUGAAAUUCGUAGAUAUUCGGAAGAACACCAGUGGCGAAGGCGGCUCACUGGCCCGUUACCGACGCUCAGGCGCGACAGCGUGGGGAGCAAACAGG